CCUACGGGAGGCAGCAGUGAGGAAUAUUGGUCAAUGGGCGGGAGCCUGAACCAGCCAAGUCGCGUGAGGGACGACGGUCCUAUGGAUUGUAAACCUCUUUUGUCGGGGAACACAGGCGCCCACGGGUGGGCGGAUGAGUGUACCCGAAGAAAAAGCAUCGGCUAACUCCGUGCCAGCAGCCGCGGUAAUACGGGGGAUGCGAGCGUUAUCCGGAUGUAUUGGGUUAAAGGGGUGCGUAGGCGGGAUGCCAAGUCAUCGGUAAAAAUGCGGUCCUCAACGCCGUCGAGCCGUUGAAACUGGCGUUCUUGAGUGGGCGAGAAGUAUGCGGAAUGCGUGGUGUAGCGGUGAAAUGCAUAGAUAUCACGCAGAACUCCGAUUGCGAAGGCAGCAUACCGGCGCCCUACUGACGCUGAGGCACGAAAGCGUGGGUAUCGAACAGGAUUAGAUACCCUAGUAGUC
rnacentral:rRNA from 1 species